rnacentral:piRNA from 1 species
UUCACAGGACUGCUCAGCUUUGA